rnacentral:rRNA from 1 species
UACGUAGGGUCCGAGCGUUGUCCGGAAUUACUGGGCGUAAAGCGUGCGCAGGCGGUUGUGCAAGACAGAUGUGAAAUCCCCGGGCUUAACCUGGGAACUGCAUUUGUGACGUGCACGGCUAGAGUGCGGCAGAGGGGGAUGGAAUUCCGCGUGUAGCAGUGAAAUGCGUAGAUAUGCGGAGGAACGACCGAUGGCGAAGGCAAUCCCCUGGGCCUGCACUGACGGCUCAUGCACGAAAGCGUGGGGAGCAAACAGG